rfam:Mus musculus chromosome 9, GRC primary reference assembly.
CCUCCCUGCCAAUGGGCAAAGAGACACCUUGUCGGUGGUGCUGUUCUUAUACCAGUCAGGGGCAGAGCAGAUGGCAGCCCUUUGUUCAUCCUAGCCUGAUGCCUGGCUUGGUGACCAAAGCUGUCUUAUGCCUAAGACUCAGAA